rnacentral:rRNA from 1 species
GAGUUUGAUCAUGGCUCAGAUUGAACGCUGGCGGCAGGCCUAACACAUGCAAGUCGGGCGGUAGAGAGAAGCUUGCUUCUCUUGAGAGCGGCGGACGGGUGAGUAAUGCCUAGGAAUCUGCCUGGUAGUGGGGGAUAACGCUCGGAAACGGACGCUAAUACCGCAUACGUCCUACGGGAGAAAGCAGGGGACCUUCGGGCCUUGCGCUAUCAGAUGAGCCUAGGUCGGAUUAGCUAGUUGGUGAGGUAAUGGCUCACCAAGGCGACGAUCCGUAACUGGUCUGAGAGGAUGAUCAGUCACACUGGAACUGAGACACGGUCCAGACUCCUACGGGAGGCAGCAGUGGGGAAUAUUGGACAAUGGGCGAAAGCCUGAUCCAGCCAUGCCGCGUGUGUGAAGAAGGUCUUCGGAUUGUAAAGCACUUUAAGUUGGGAGGAAGGGCAGUAAAUUAAUACUUUGCUGUUUUGACGUUACCGACAGAAUAAGCACCGGCUAACUCUGUGACAGCCGCCG